AUGCAGUAGAAGGCGUCGAGGCGGAGAGGAAGGAGGUGGCCGGCGCGCAGGAGACGUCGGGCGUCCACGAUGGAGCACAAGUGCUUGGAGACGCAGCGUGACGCCGCUAGGCUGCUGGGCGGGAGGCGGCUCAGGAUUUCCACAAGCAUAUCGUCAGAUCAUGAAGGCAGAACAUCAGAUAUUGAAGUGCAACCAAGAUUUUUAGUGCUAGGGGCAAUUGAUGACUCGACACCUGUGGAAAAACUUUGAGUAUUCCUGGAAUUAACUACAUGUGCAUAACUACCCGAAGAAUCAGAAACAUAUAAAACUCCAAGAUCAUGCUCUUCUGGCAAGCCUCCAGUAGUUGUUGAGGAUGAUGAAGCUUAUGGGAUACUCUUCUGCAUGUAUGGAUGCCCAUCACCAAAUACAGAAGCUUUCUUGCCACUUUGAGAGAGAUGGCACCAUCGAUCUGGAUGAAUGGCGAACUUUGCCAUCACCGAGGCGGCCAGUACAAGCGCUUCGCUUCCAAUGCCUUACUCUUUCAUCACUUGGAUAGUACAAGCGUGCUGAAGAUGAGCAUCUCAUUGGUUUAAGGUGUGACGAGAGUUUCUUUGACUGUUGGGCUCACCUUGCCCAGGAAAUAACUCUUGACCAUGUGAAGGCAGUUGGCUUUCUUGGAGAUGGUUUUGGCGCCACACCAGAUAUGAGCAAAUGAAACUUGAUAUAGGUUGUCAGCAAAAUUCAGUUUUUUUCAGCAAUACCACUCAAAAUUUAGUGAUGCUAACAAAAAAAAAUAGAAUAACAGUUAGUGUUUUUGUAUAUAUGUAUUUAAUCACAUUGGUUCCGUAGUAACGCACGGGUAUAUAGCUAGUUAAUUAGAUAAGCAUGCGUUUGUAAUAUCAUAACAACCUGCGACGGUGCCGGCCUAAGAUAGCUAACGAUAGUUAUCCGGUUGUUACAUGAUGUGAUCUGUUGAUGACUAUAUAACACGGUGGCAGGCACGGCCAAGGUGCAACUGCUUUACGCAAAA